rnacentral:rRNA from 1 species
GACGAACGCUGGCGGCGUGCUUAACACAUGCAAGUCGAACGAGUGGCGAACGGGUGAGUAAUACGUGAGUAACCUGCACUCUUUUUGGGAUCAGCCUUGGAAACGGGGUCUAAUACCGGAUAGGGGGAUGGGCUCGCGGCCUAUCAGCUGGUUGGUGGGGUGAUGGCAUACCAAGGCGGUGAUGGGUAGACGGCAUGAGAGGGUGACCGGCAACAUUGAGACUGAGAUACCGCCUAGAGUAGUACGGGGGGGAGCAGUGGGGGAUAUUGCACAAUGGUCGAAAGACUGAUGCAGCGACGCCGCAUGGGGGAUGAAGGCUUUCGGGUUGUAAACCUCUGGCGCUAGCGAACGGGUAGGUGGAGAAGAAGCGCCGGCUAACUACGUGCCAGCAGCCGCGGUAAUAC